rnacentral:sRNA from 1 species
GCCGGGUGCAGUGGCACACGCCUGUAAUCCCAGCAGCUCUGGAGGCUGAGGCAGGAGGAUCCAGAGUUCAAAGCCAGCCUCUGCCAAAGCGAGGCACUAAGCAACUCAGUGAGACCCUGUCUCUA